rnacentral:rRNA from 1 species
CCUACGGGAGGCAGCAGUGGGGAAUAUUGCGCAAUGGGCGAAAGCCUGACGCAGCGACGCCGCGUGAGGGAUGAAGGUUUUCGGAUCGUAAACCUCUGUCAGCAGGGAAGAAGUUGCAUGGGGCCAAUCACCUGUGAAUUGACGGUACCUUCAAAGGAAGCACCGGCUAACUCCGUGCCAGCAGCCGCGGUAAUACGGAGGGUGCGAGCGUUAAUCGGAAUUACUGGGCGUAAAGCGCACGUAGGCUGUAUGUCAAGUCAAGGGUGAAAUCCCACUGCUCAACCGUGGAACUGCCUUUGAAACUGGCAAACUGGAGUGUGUGAGAGGGUAGCGGAAUUCCAGGUGUAGGAGUGAAAUCCGUAGAUAUCAGGAGGAACAUCAGUGGCGAAGGCGACUGUCUGGCACAAAACUGACGCUGAGGUGCGAAAGCGUGGGUAGCAAACAGGAUUAGAUACCCUGGUAGUC